UCCUACGGGACGCAGCAGUGGGGAAUAUUGCACAAUGGGGGAAACCCUGAUGCAGCGACGCCGCGUGAGUGAAGAAGUAUCUCGGUAUGUAAAGCUCUAUCAGCAGGAAAGAUAACGACGGUACCUGACUAAGAAGCCCCGGCUAACUACGUGCCAGCAGCCGCGGUAAUACGUAGGGGGCAAGCGUUAUCCGGAUUUACUGGGUGUAAAGGGAGCGUAUACGGCAGCGCAAGUCAGAUGUGAAAGCCCGGGGCUCAACCCCGGUACUGCAUUUGAAACUGUCCAGCUGGAGUGCAGGAGAGGUA
rnacentral:rRNA from 1 species